rnacentral:RNase_P_RNA from 1 species
CAAGUAGGCUGGACAGCCGCGCAGACGGGACGAAAGGCCCGCCUGUGAGGAAAGUCCGGGCUCCGCAGGGCAAGGAUAACGGGUAACACCCGCCGGGGGCGACCCUAGGAAAAGUGCAACAGAGAUAAACCGCCUCGUCCCCUUUUCUGGGGCCCCAACAAAAACAGAUGUUUUUGUUGGGAGAGGAGGCGCAGCGUACUGAGCGAGCUUUGUCCCUUGGGACGAAGCGAGGGAUAGGAAGCUUGCGCCGACGAGGUAAGGGUGGAAAGGCGGAGAUAAGAGCCCGCCCGAUGGCUGGGAACAGUCCAUCGCUGUAAACUCUAUCCGGAGCAACGCCGUGGAGGGACAUAUGGUCGGCCCGACCGUCCCAUGGAGGCGGCUGGAGCGUACCGGCAACGGUGCGUCGAGAUAGAUGGCUGUCUUAAAUGACAGAACCCGGCUUACAGGCCUGCUUGUACC